rnacentral:tRNA from 1 species
GCCGAAGUGGUGGAAUUGGUAGACACGCAUGCUUGAGGGGCAUGUGGCCUUAAGGCUGUGGGGGUUCGAGUCCCCCCUUCGGUA